rnacentral:rRNA from 1 species
UACGUAGGGUGCAAGCGUUAAUCGGAAUUACUGGGCGUAAAGCGCACGUAGGCGGAUUUGUAAGUCAGGGGUGAAAUCCCGGGGCUCAACCUCGGAACUGCCUUUGAUACUGCAAAUCUCGAGUCCGGAAGAGGUGAGUGGAAUUCCUAGUGUAGAGGUGAAAAUUCGUAGAUAUUAGGAAGAACACCAGUGGCGAAGGCGGCUCACUGGUCCGGUACUGACGCUGAGGUGCGAAAGCGUAGGGAGCAAACAGG